rnacentral:rRNA from 1 species
CCUUAGUAACGGCGAGUGAAGCGGCAACAGCUCAAAUUUGAAAUCUGGCUCCUUCGGGGCCCGAGUUGUAAUUUGCAGAGGAUGCUUCGGGUUUGGGUUCCUUCCGAGUUCCCUGGAACGGGACGCCAUAGAGGGUGAGAGCCCCGUCUGGUAGGAAACCCAGCCCAUGUGAAGCUCCCUCGACGAGUCGAGUAGUUUGGGAAUGCUGCUCUAAGGGGAGGUAUACUCCUUCCAAGGCUAAAUACCGGCUAGAGACCGAUAGCGCACAAGUAGAGUGAUCGAAAGAUGAAAAGUACUUUGAAAAGAGAGUCAAACAGCACGUGAAAUUGUUAAAAGGGAAGCGCUCGCUACCAGACGUGGGUUCGGUGGUUCAACCAGGUCCAUGACCUGGGGCACUCCGCCGGCCCAGGCCAGCAUCAGCUUUCCGUCGGGGGCAAAGGCGUCGGGAAUGUGGCUCUCCUUCGGGGGAGUGUUAUAGCCCGUCGCGUCAUACCCUUCGGGGGGCUGAGGUACGCGCUCCGCAAGGAUGCUGGCGUAAUGGUAGCUAGUGACCCGUCUUGAAACACGGACCAAGGAGUCAACCUUAUGUGCGAGUGCCCGGGCGUAAAACCCCAGCGCGGAAUGAAAGUGAACGUAGGUGAGAGCUUCGGCGCAUCACCGACCGAUCCUGAUGUCCUCGGACGGAUUUGAGUGAGAGCAUAUAGGGUUGGACCCGAAAGAAGAUGAACUAUGCGUGUGUAGGGUGAAGCCAGAGGAAACUCUGGUGGAGGCUCGCAGCGGUUCUGACGUGCAAAUCGAUCGUCAAACAUGCGCAUGGGGGCGAAAGACUAAUCGAAUCUUCUGGUAGCUGGUUUCCGCCGAAGUUUCCCUCAGGAUAGCAGUGUUGAUCCCAGUUUUAUGAGGUAAAGCGAAUGAUUAGGGACUCGGGGGCGCUAUUUAGCCUUCAUCCAUUCUCAAACUUUAAAUAUGUAAGAAGUCCCCGUUACUUUAUUGAACGCGGACGCUGGAAUGAAACAACACUAGUGGGCCAUUUUUGGUAAGCAGAACUGGCGAUGCGGGAUGAACCGAACGCGAGGUUAAGGUGCCGGAGUGGACGCUCAUCAGACACCACAAAAGGUGUUAGUACAUCUUGACAGCAGGACGGUGGCCAUGGAAGUCGGAAUCCGCUAAGGACUGUGUAACAACUCACCUGCCGAAUGUACUAGCCCUGAAAAUGGAUGGCGCUCAAGCGUCCCACCCAUACCUCGCCCUCGGCGCGGGCUCGGCGCGUCGAGGAGUAGGCGGACGUGGAGGUCGGUGACGAAGCCUAGGACGUGAGUCCGGGUGGAACGGCCUCUAGUGCAGAUCUUGGUGGUAGUAGCAAAUACUUCAAUGAGAACUUGAAGGACCGAAGUGGGGAAAGGUUCCAUGUGAACAGCGGUUGGACGUGGGUCAGUCGAUCCUAAGCUAUAGGGAAGUUCCGUUUCAAAGGGGCGCUUUUGCCCCGUAUAGCGAAAGGGAAGCUGGUUAAUAUUCCAGCACCUGGAUGUGGGUUUUGCGCGGCAACGCAACCGAACGCGGAGACGACGGCGGGGGCCCCGGGAAGAGUUCUCUUUUCUUCUUAACGAUCUAUCACCCUGGAAUCGGUUUGUCCGGAGAUAGGGUUCAACGGUCGGAAGAGCCCAGCGCUUCUGCUGGGUCCGGUGCGUCCUCGACGUCCCUUGAAAAUCCGCGGGAGGGAAUAAUUCUCACGCCAGGUCGUACUCAUAACCGCAGCAGGUCUCCAAGGUGAACAGCCUCUGGUUGAUAGAACAAUGUGGAUAAGGGAAGUCGGCAAAACAGAUCCGUAACUUCGGGAAAAGGAUUGGCUCUAAGGAUCGGGCGCGUUGGGCCUUGAAUAGACGGUUCGGCGGCGGGAGGUCACUAGCUGGGCAACCAGCCGGAGGCUCCCUGCUGCUGGGCUCGACGCUCUUGGCAGGCUUCGGCCGUCCGGCGCGCGUUUAACGAUCAACUUAGAACUGGCGCGGACAGGGGGAAUCUGACUGUCUAAUUAAAACAUAGCAU